rnacentral:rRNA from 1 species
CCUACGGGGGGCAGCAGUGGGGAAUAUUGCACAAUGGGCGCAAGCCUGAUGCAGCGACGCCGCGUGAAGGAAGAAGGCUUUCGGGUUGUAAACUUCUUUUGUCAGGGACGAAGCAAGUGACGGUACCUGACGAAUAAGCCACGGCUAACUACGUGCCAGCAGCCGCGGUAAUACGUAGGUGGCAAGCGUUAUCCGGAUUUACUGGGUGUAAAGGGCGUGUAGGCGGGGAAGCAAGUCAGAUGUGAAAACCACGGGCUCAACCUGUGGCCUGCAUUUGAAACUGUUUUUCUUGAGUGCUGGAGAGG